rnacentral:rRNA from 1 species
GACGAACCGAGCGAACGUUGUUCGGAAUCACUGGGCUUAAAGGGCGCGUAGGCGGGCUGUCAAGUCUGGGGUGAAAUCCCACGGCUCAACCGUGGAACUGCCUUAGAUACUGACGGCCUCGAGGGAGAUAGGGGCGAGCGGAACUGUGAGUGGAGCGGUGAGAUGCGUUGAUAUUCACAGGAACUCCGGUGGCGAAGGCGGCUCGCUGGAUCUUUUCUGACGCUGAGGCGCGAAAGCUAGGGGAGCAAACGGG